AUACGUCGGGGGCGAGCGUUGUCCGGAAUGAUUGGGCGUAAAGGACGCAUAGGCGGCCCGGUAAGUCUGGAGUGAAAGUCCUGUUUUUAAGAUGGGAAUUGCUUUGGAUACUGUCGGGCUUGAGUGCAGGAGAGGGAAGUGGAAUUCCCAGUGUAGGGGUGAAAUGCGUAGAGAUUGGGAGGAACACCAGUGGCGAAGGCGACUUACUGGACUGUAACUGACGCUGAGGCGCGAAAGUGUGGGGAGCAAACAGGAUUAGAUACCCUGGUAGUCCACACUGUAAACGAUGAAUGCUAGGUGUAGGGGGUAUCGACCCCUUCUGUGCCGCAGUCAACACAAUAAGCAUUCCGCCUGGGGAGUACGGCCGCAAGGUUGAAACUCAAAUGAAUUGGCGGGG
rnacentral:rRNA from 1 species